GUGGAUGUGUUGAUGGUUGUGCUGGGCUGCAGGGAGUGCUGGCUUUUUAAGAGUAUUGAAUUAUCUUAAGCUACUUAUACAAAAUAUAGAAUCAUAAAUAUGCAAAGAGGCAGCCAGAUAACAAAGUGGUAACACGUUGGCAUGCCAAGCAGGAGGACCUGGAUUCAUAUUCUGGGUCCGGCAUCUCCUGAAAAAUUUUUUCAGGAUUCUGAGCCCAAUGAUCUCUGUUCUUCACCUUCCAUCCCCUCCACAAGUGUGAAUGCAGCCUAUAGUUGGAACUGUACCUGCCUCUUAGUAAUCUCUCUGAUUGAAAAGGGACAUAAAAAUUCAAAAAAAAAAAUAUGCAAAGAACAAACAUCACAA
rnacentral:lncRNA from 1 species